rnacentral:pre_miRNA from 1 species
AGGACCGCGUUGGAGAAGCAGGGCACGUGCAUGCAUGUUCAUCAUCUUCUUCUUCCUCCUCCUCCUCCUCCUCUCCGACCUUGUGUCGUGGGUUGGAAGUUUAAUUAGAACUGCACUGCACGUGGUCUCCUUCUCCAUCCCGGUCUU